rnacentral:tRNA from 1 species
AGUUAAAUAGCUUAAUAAAAGCAUAUAUUUUGAAAAUAUAAGAAAGAGAAUUAAUUACUCUAUUAACUU